rnacentral:tRNA from 1 species
GCCAUGGUGGCUCAGUGGUUGAGCGUUGUCCUAUGAACCAGGAGGUCACGGUUCGAUUCCUGGUCAGGGCA